rnacentral:rRNA from 1 species
GACGAACGCUGGCGGCGUGCCUAAUACAUGCAAGUAGAACGCAGUUUCGAACGGGUGAGUAACGCGUAGGUAACUGCCUGGUAGCGGGGGAUAACUAUUGUAAACGAUAGCUAAUACCGCAUACUACCCGAUGGCCCUGCGUUGGAUUAGCUAGUUGGUGGGGUAACGGCUAACCAAGACAACGAUACAUAGCCGACCUGAGAGGGAGAUCAGGCACACUGGGACUGAGACACGGCCCAGACUCCUACGGGAGGCAGCAGUAGGGAAACUUCGGCAAUGGACGGAAGUCUGACCGAGCAACGCCGCGUGAGUGAAGAAGGUUUUCGGAUCGUAAAGCUCUGGUGUAAGAGAAGCGGUAUCUGACCAGAAAGGGACGGCUAACUACGUGCCAGCCGCCGCGGUAAUAC